UUGUUUGUAAUUUGACGAGUUUUGUUCGAAAUAACCGCGUUCUUAAAAUAUUGUCACGCCUUUUGAUAGCCCGGAAUCUAUAUAGACGAGACACAAUGAAAACGUAUCAAACGCGCCACUCUCAGCCCCUUUGUCCACAAACAAGACACAUGCAUAAAUCAGCUUCUUCUUUAUACACUUGGCAAAGAACAAUACACUUGGCAAAGAACAGCGGUUUUCUUAAAUGAAUAAAACACAAUUGAUUAAGUCACAAAGCAUAUAAACAACAAAAGGCAAAAUUCUCACCAAACGUUUUCCGAUCCGGGUGGCUAAUACAAUUACAAUAUAUAUAUAUCACAGAUAAGUAAACAGUCAACAAUACGGACAAACAUCUGCGGCUCUUUCACGACGAAUACGUGAUGCGAAAAUGACCGAAAGGAAAACGCUAAACCAGACAAAAGAUAAAAUUACUAAUUUACGCUACAAACAAAGGGGAAAAAGGGUAAUAAUGGGUCUACAAUGAUUGGAUACAAGGCAGCGCACGAUGCACUGCAUACAGUGGCAAAAUGUACGAUAAAUUGUAAACAACGUACGUUUACAACGUAACAAAUAUAUGACGGUCAGAAAUGCAAUUAGAAGCCCAGAUAGAGAAGUUCUGGUACCGUAACACAGCGCGGUGACACUGAACUAACUCGUAGCUGUCAAAAGCUUGAAAAUCCAUACAAAUAUAAGAGAUAAAAAGAUGAAACUUGGCAGAUGAAUUCAACCAAGUCAAUGAUUGCAAAAGUAAGAAGGAAAUGUUGUCAGCACCGACCGUUUUUUUUUAUUGCAAGUAUAGUGUUGAAAACCUCAUUAGCAGUAGCCUAAUAGCUCAAAAGUCAAUGGACUCCUUGGUUGCGGGAGAGAAGAAAAUCUUCAAAACUUUUAUUUGAAGGUGGCACACUGCUAAUAAGGUUCUUAUCGAUACAUGUGAAAAAAUGUCUAAGUUCGUUAUUAAUGACAAUUCGAGUACGAUUUUAUAUUCAUAAUAUUCUUUAUUGUCUGCCAAGUGUGGCUUAUAUCCCCCUUGUUAUAUUGUACUUUUGUAAAAUAAUAAUUCUGUUUGGAGCUAUUUACAAUGUCAGCUCGACUAGAUUCCUUCUAUGAUUUUUGUAAUUCGUUCGAUGACUUGGGGUGCUGAGUAUGUAAUGCUUUAUAUGCAUAGAUUUUUUGUUCCUUAUUCAUCCAUGGCUUGUUGGCCAGCCUAUUCAUUUUGCGUGAGCAUUUUCCCAUGGACGCAUUCUUAUCGAGUAUGCAUUUUAAUAUGUUUAUAAAAGAGUUGAACUUCUGAUUAAAGUUGGUAUUUGAUAGUUUUGUAUUGAUGAGAUUGCCAGAGGCGUUUUCAAUAUCGAGGCUAAAAUUUUCUUUACUAAAGUUUGACAUUUUACGUUCAGUGCAAGCCUUAUCAAUUCUAUUAGCUACAUUAAUAUUGGGAAUGUAACAUAAUAUGAUAUAGGAAAGCGGUCAGAGAUAUCGUCUACUUUAAUAGAAUGUAAUAGGAGCAUCAUGAUCUAUAGUAUUUGUGUAUAUGUGAUCCAUUAAUGUGUGGGAUGUGGAGGUCUUCCUCUUAUCCAUAAAGA